GAUGAACGCUGGCGGCGUGCCUAACACAUGCAAGUCGAACGAAAAGACGAGGAGCUUGCUCCUCUGACGUUAGCGGCGGAGGGGUGAGUAACAUGUGUAUAACCUACCUAUAAGACUGGGAUCAUCUCGGGAAACCGGAUCUUAUACCGGAUAAUAUAUUGAACCGCAUUGUGCAAUAGUUAAAGACGGUUUUUGUGUCGCUAAUAGCUGGAUCCGCGCCGGAUUAGGUGGUUGGUAAGGUAACGGCUUUCCAAGGCGAGGAUGCGUAGCCGACCUGAGAGGGUGAUCGGCCACACGGGAACUGAGACACGGUCCAGACUCCUACGGGAGGCAGCAGUAGGGAAUCUUACGCAAUGGGCGAAAGCCUGACGGAGCAACGCCGCGUGAGUGAUGAAGGUCUUCGGAUCGGAAAGCUCUGUUAUUGGGGAAGAACAAAUGUGUAAGUACCCGUGCACGUAUUGACGGUACCUGGUCAAGAAGCCCCGGCUAACUACGUG
rnacentral:rRNA from 1 species